GUGUGUGUUUCGGUCAUAAGGGAAACCUGACCCACACCCCCUAAACCGAAGGGACGUGCACUUGUCAACUGUCUGUACCUGUCCAGUGCGGAAAACAGCCGACUGAAGGGUAACUUAUUUUUGGAUGAAUGCAGGGGGAAGAUGUACUACCCAUCUGCAUUCUCCUGAUGGUUAAAAGAUAACACCCAGGCCACUUUGCAGCUGCCAAAGCAACUCCCCAGACAAAGGUCAGCCACAGUCACCAGACAAAGAUUUCAAUAGCCACAAAUCCCUGCCUGAUGCAC